GGGUAGAGCUCCGUUAAAUUCGACGCAUUGAGUGUGGAUUCAAAAACGCAAACAAAACGUCAAUAGACACAUUUUUUUUAAAUAUAUGUCCACUCUUCAUGACGUAAUUCCCAAACAAAAUGAAGAAAUCAAAAAAGGGCAAACGCAAGACUUCCAUGUUAAGUCAUAUAAAAUCAAUAAAAAAACUAAGUUGGACGUUAUCAAAUAAAUAGCUUGAAGGGCAUGAGUAGACCCUCGACUGCACCUUUUGGGAGAUUCAACGCAUUUGCAUUCCCCUUGGAAACUCUGGCUAAUAUUAAACAUUGACGAAGUUCCUUAACUUAUUAAAAACGGAAAAACGAAGGGACAGGUACCGCAUAUCUACAUGAAUGCCCAGGGAAUUAACUAUAGACGAUAUUAUAUUUCAACAGUCUAUUCUGGUUUUAUUAUUGACAUGCAUCAAAAGUAUACUCUCAUUCUCUGACGAUUCCAGGACAAACACUGAGGGACCAAAAAAAGUAAAAGAUUUAUUCUCUCGCGAAUACUUUAUUGAUCAAUAAAUACCGAUUAUUUACAAAUUCAGGAUUCAAACAAUUAAAAUAAAUUCAUGGAUUUUCCUGCUAUGCGAAAAUGAAAAAAAUCAAGUUCACACAUUUUAUUUUUCAUAAAAAGAAUACAGCCACAAACUUGAAAAACCCAAGUCAAGACAUUGCUAUGAAAAAUCGUUCAAUGGAAUAAUGAAUUGUAUGAAAAACUCGAAGUUGAUUGAUAUUUCGAUACGAUAUCGCCUCACAUAAUGACAUGUGCAUUUAACCUUAUCGUAUAAUUAUAAAAAAUCCGGUUGUAUGUAGAAGCAAUCGACGAAAAAAACGCAGAACUAUGUGAUUCCCCUGAUUUUUUAUUGAUCAACAAUUUCACCUAAUAGUGCAAUACAUAUUCAUUGAAAUUUCAUGCCAAAAUAAUUCCUCGAUUGAACUCUCGUUUUAAUUAGAAUUCCAGGUCUACUCCAAGGCCGAACUGUGGUACGAAUCUGCCACCAGGUCCCUUUUGAA